rnacentral:misc_RNA from 1 species
GAUGAAGAACGUAGCGAAAUGCGAUAAGUAGUGUGAAUUGCAGAAUUCAGUGAAUCAUCGAAUCUUUGAACGCACAUUGCGCCUUCUAGUAUUCUGGGAGGCAUGCCUGUUUGAGCGUCAUUAAACCUCUCUCAAGUAUGAUUACUUGGAUGUGAAGGAAGAGUACCUUAAACUUAAGGAGUGUUCUCCUUUGAAAUUGAUUAGCAGAUGGUAAUGUUAUUAAAUCCCUGAUGUUGUAAGAAAUAACAGUGGUUUUGUAGACUAUUAUCUAGCUUUAAAUUAUAAUUUUUAUUAUGGUUGACCUCAAAUCAGGUAAGGAUACCCGCUGAACUUAAGCAUAUCAAGCGGAGGA